GCCGAGCUCAGUAGCGUGGGCUUGUAACUCAAGUGAGGGCAUCAGUGUGGUGGAAUGUUGAACAUGCCCAGAAGGUAGGGCUUGUGUGACAAUUCUCUGGCAUGC
rnacentral:scRNA from 1 species